AAGGAUUUAAAGGGCAUUUAUCCUGAAAUAAACCGAGAAACUUGAGAAUUUUGAGAUUUGGCCGUCCCAGUCUGGACUCGAAGCAGCUGCUAAUUUCUCAAUUCUCCAACACAACAAAGCAAUCGGCAAUUCAAACCAAUCUGUUGCGUUCUUCUAUGUUUUGAAGAUUGUUAUCUUGAUUAGAGUAGAGAAAACAAGUAUCACAUGGUUACGUGCUAUCCGUCAACACCGAAGAAGUUGCUUAUGACUUUCGGAAUGUUUCUUGGUGGUGCCUCUAUCUUUGCUGCUGGCGUGCACCUGUCGUAUGUCAAUGUGGCUCCUCAACAAGCUCGAACCAAGGCUCGAAAUGAUUUUGUCAAACAGAGAUUAAAACAGAAAUAUGGCAAGUUAUAGAAGUACGCUGAAUUGUUUACCAUUCCAUAAGGUUAAUUAGAUCCUUUGCAAUACGCAGUGUUGUGCAUCCACCUGUGAAAUCUGAAUACUUGCUCGCUGUACCACUAGGCUGGUAUCUUUCCAGUUUCCGCUUUUGUGCUAAAACAUCUGUUGCUUUUUCGAUUUCACUUCGUCUGUGCUGCAUAUUUGCUUCCCAUGGAAGAUUUCUUCUCCUAUAAGGAUGAAAGUGUUCAUAAUCUUCAUUUGACCUCAUCAUACUUUGUACUGCAACUUCAGUCCUUUUAGCGCUAGUGUAGAGUUCCCAAUAUCCAUAUGGCUAGGGUUGCUACUUGCUCCGCCUCUGAUGCCUAUUCCCAAACUUUAUCAAGCAAUAUAUCAGUAAAGUCCAUCAAUACUUCUUUCUGGCAUUUGCUGUAUCAUGCUCAACCUAUAAUAGAAGCUUCACAAUUAAUUAUAUCUUCUGAAAAGUUGAUUAUUAAGCAUAGCUCUCCAACAAGCUCAAACCAAAGCUUGAAACUAUCUUGUCAAACAGAGUUUAGAACAAUAAUCCAGCAGGUUAUAAAAGUACAUUGAAUUAUUUGAUCACUUGAUUAUUUGUUUGAUGUUUGAAACUUUAUUUAGUGAAUCCAUUUCUACAGAUUUCUUUUUUGUAGUUUAAAGUUUACCAUUGUAUAAGGUUAAUAAGGUCCUUUGCAGUGCUGUGCUUUUACCUCUGAAAUUUGAAUACUUGCUAUUUGCUCUGCCUCUGAUGCCUAUUUAACUUUAUUAUGCAAUGUAUAUUGAUAAAGUUCAUCAAUACUUCUUUCUGGCAUGUGGUGUGUAACGCUUAACCUAUAAUAAUAUAUUUUCCGACAAGUUAAUGAUCAAACUGCACAGCUCUCCAAGUCAAAAAAAAAAAAAAAAAAAAGAGUUACCGAGUAAGUUAUAUUGUCCGACUUAUUCAAUGACAUUGUCUGGGCCACUUGUUUGUUGCUUUAAGAACUUCUGAAUCACAUAUGAGGUCGUGGAUAGCAGCCCCUAAAAUUGGUUGGUACUGAUUAUCUGCUACAGUAUAUUACAGUUUAGCCGAUUUUGUUUUUAUGCACAAUCUAGUAAUUUUGUCAAGAGGCAACUUCGUUGCUCCUCAUUCUUGUAGCCUUGAGCUGUGACCUCACCUUUAUCGUUAUGCAAUGACAAUGUUUGUUCACAAGUGCUGCUCUUCUGAAUAAAGGAGCUAUCUUUUGUAAUUAUCAUUUAAGCAGUGCUUGAUGAAGUCCCUUUUGUUUGUGGAAACAUCAAUUUGUACA